GACGAACCGUGCGAACGUUAUUCGGAAUCACUGGGCUUAAAGCGCGUGUAGGCGGGCCGGCACGUCGGUCGCUGAAAUCCCCCGGCUCAACCGGGGAAGGGGCGCCGAAACGACCGGCCUGGAGGGGGGUAGGGGGCGCCGGAACUCACGGUGGAGCGGUGAAAUGCGUUGAGAUCGUGAGGAACGCCCGUGGCGAAAGCGGGCGCCUGGACCCCGCCUGACGCUGAGACGCGAAAGCGUGGGGAGCAAACAGG
rnacentral:rRNA from 1 species